CGAGGGUCUGGGGGCGCGAGGACCCCUAGGCCGUGCCGGCUAGAGGAGAUGCCGGUGGCCCGCGGGCCUCAAGACCGAACCCCAGCCUGGGUCCGCACAGCUUCUCACCUGGGGCAGGAGGGUGCUCCAACACCCUCCCGCCCUCGUUCCCCCACGCGUGAGCCAGAGCCGCGCGUCCAGCACCACGGACAGCUCCCGGGCGGAAAUUCCAUGAUCCCACAUUCCUUUCUCGGGAAGUCCUGGCCCGUGUCUAACCCUGGUCUGUACUGAAGCCCCGUUCUUCGGCCUGUGGCUUGACGUGCUACUUUGAGAGACCAAAAAGAAGGACCUAUUUCACCCAGUUGGCGUAGGCUCCCUCUGAGAAGCCCUCCUGGAUUGACCCAGGGAUGACGCUAAACUCUAGCAAUUGACUGGCUGUUCCAGGAAGCCUCUGAGCAGGAUGGAAGUGGCCAGGCCUGGCUCCAGCCUGGGCUGCCCAUUCAUCCAGAACCACUGGGGAGAGGACUUCUUUCCACCCAUGCUCUGUGUCUGUAGCUGUCCACCUGGCCCAUCCCGGUCCCUCCUCUGUCGUCUGAGCUGACAGUCCUCUGAGAUGGAGGUCCCAUCUCGUGUCUAAUAAAGACUCCUGAACGUUGAA
rnacentral:lncRNA from 1 species